rnacentral:rRNA from 1 species
CGCAGGGCGUGGAAGCGGUGCGUCCACUCCGGCCAGCACGACAGCGCCACCUGGGGCCACGCCGCCGCCGCCGACUUCGCGCCCAUGCCCAGGAUGUGCCGCCUCGUCAUGGCCAACUACGCCCCGCCCGACCUCCUCGCUUGCUGCCCCCUCGACCCCUCAAACGUCGUGCGCCGCUGCACCUACGCUGACACGGGGGGCCGGGUCAUGCCCUACCUCGUCUACCUCGACCACGCGCACGCCGACUUCGUGCUCGCGCUGCGCGGCCUCAACCUCGAUCGCGAGUCCGACUACGUGCUGCUCCUCGGCAAGCGUCGCUUCGACGGCGGCUACGUCCACAACGGCCUCCUCCGCGCCGCCGGCUGGGUGCUCGACAGGGAGUGCGACCUGCUCCGGGACCUCGUCGACUGGUACCCCGCCUACAUGCUCACCUUCACGGGCCACUCACUCAGCGUCGGUGUCGCCUCCAUGCUCACCAUGGUCGUUGUGCUCAACCUCGACAAGCUCGGCAAGGUCGAGAGGGGCCGCACCAGGUGCUACACCAUGGCCCCCGCCCGCUGUAUGUCGCUCAACCUCGCUGUCAGAUACGCCGAUGUCAUCAACUCCGUCGUGCUGCAGGUGACUCACUGA